rfam:Operophtera brumata OBRT01_Sc00205, whole genome shotgun sequence.
CACUAGGCCCUUUUCAGGGCCACCAUACCUCAAGCUGAUCACGGAG